rnacentral:rRNA from 1 species
AUUGAACGCUGGCGGCAUGCCUUACACAUGCAAGUCGAACGGUAACGGGCCUUCGGGUGCCGACGAGUGGCGAACGGGUGAGUAAUACAUCGGAACGUGCCCGAUCGUGGGGGAUAACGAGGCGAAAGCUUUGCUAAUACCGCAUACGAUCUACGGUUGAAAGCAGGGGACCGCAAGGCCUUGCGCGGACGGUGCGGCCGAUGGCAGAUUAGGUAGUUGGUGGGAUAAAAGCUUACCAAGCCGACGAUCUGUAGCUGGUCUGAGAGGAUGAUCAGCCACACUGGGACUGAGACACGGCCCAGACUCCUACGGGAGGCAGCAGUGGGGAAUUUUGGACAAUGGGCGCAAGCCUGAUCCAGCCAUGCCGCGUGAAGGAUGAAGGCCUUCGGGUUGUAAACUGCUUUUGUACGGAACGAAAAGCCUUCUUUUAAUACAGGAGGGUCAUGACGGUACCGUAAGAAUAAGCACCGGCUAACUACGUG